rnacentral:misc_RNA from 1 species
GAUGAAGAACGUAGCGAAAUGCGAUACGUAAUGUGAAUUGCAGAAUUCAGUGAAUCAUCGAGUCUUUGAACGCACAUUGCGCCCCCUGGUAUUCCGGGGGGCGUGCCUGUCCGAGCGUCAUUGCUGCCCUCAAGCACGGCUUGUGUGUUGGGCCUCCGUCCUCCUCCCGGGGGACGGGCCCGAAAGGCAGCGGCGGCACCGCGUCCGGUCCUCGAGCGUAUGGGGCUUCGUCACCCGCUCUUGUAGGCCCGGCCGGCGCUUGCCGACACAUCAAUCUUUUUUCCAGGUUGACCUCGGAUCAGGUAGGGAUACCCGCUGAACUUAAGCAUAUCAAUAAGCGGAGGA